rnacentral:lncRNA from 1 species
CUCUCUUAUCAUCAAUAAACACCCAUAAAUGCUAUCGAGUCCUCUCAAUACGCUCUGCAAUAACUCCUCCACUUCCACAUCUUCACUAACUCUUCCGUCUUCCGUCUUCCAUCUUCCUUCUUCCUCACCCUCUCGCUCUCGCUCUCAACUUUUAUCCGCUCUUUUUUCUUUCAAUCCCUUUCACUUCCAUGUCCUAACUAUUCUUAAAUUCGUUUCACAAGAAAAGCAUUCUUUGCAAUAAACCUCAAAACCACUUUUCACAGUGCUAAUCAAAUUCUGCUUUUUAAUCAACCCUUUGACCUUAAAACCAGAUCUGACCUACUUUGCUUGUCUCUAACCCUAAAACCUGGAUAUGGUUUUCUAGGGUUUCUAUCAACUUGCAAGAACAGUAAGUCAAACACACACACUUACAAAUGUAUAUAUGUUGUACUGUUUGUUUAUUCCGACUUCAGUCCUAUAAAACCAUGAUUUUCACCUUGCCGAAGUAAUUAAGUUUAAUUUCUG